CCAUUGCUGAGCAUGUGGGACGUACAGGAGCAGGGCUUGGGAUGAGGGUGCUAAAAUUAACUCCCGUGUUCUUCCCUAAAAUGGCUUUAUUUACUUCUGCAGGAGGAGAAAGUGAGGAACUCACCAGCCCUUGUUUACCGUCUGGUUUCAAAUCUGGGUGGCAGCAUGCUGAGAUAGUGUACGAAAUCAAAGGACAGCAGGCAGGAGGCUCUGCAGCUCCUGCCUCUCUAGCUGCGGUGUGUCUGUCCAGUAACACAGACAGAGCUGAGCACUCCCUGAGCCUCUUUCAGUACCCUUCCGCCUCAAAUGGUGUUGUUCAUCGUGGGCUGUCACACAUGUAAUCUCAGCCUGAGGACAGUCUGAGUUAACGCUGGAAGAAGAGGGAAGUGUGUUAUUUCAGUUCUCUGUGAA
ensembl:lncRNA